AUUGAACGCUGGCGGCAGGCCUAACACAUGCAAGUCGAGCGAGCGGCGGACGGGUGAGUAAUGUAUGGGGACUGCCCGAUAGAGGGGGAUAACUACUGGAAACGGUGGCUAAUACCGCAUACCAUCGGAUAACCCAUAUGGGAUUAGCUAGUAGGUGGGGUAAAGGCUCACCUAGGCGACGAUCUCUAGCUGGUCUGAGAGGAUGAUCAGGCAAACUGGGACUGAGACACGGCCCAGACCCCUUCGGAGGAAGCAGUGGGGAAUAUUGGACAAUGGGGGGAAGCCGUGUUCAGCCAUGCCGCGUUGAGGGAGAAGGCCUUUGGGUUGUAAAGGACUUUCAGCGGGGAGGCGUUACCCGGAGAAGAAGGACCGGCUAAAUCCGUGCCAGCCGCCGCGGUAAUUC
rnacentral:rRNA from 1 species